UCAAUGACGCGCCAGAUACAUGCGUCAUCCGCCAGACACUCCCCCGAAGCCAGCGAGGAUGGUUGCGCGCGCGUUUGAGCGCUCGCUGGCAGCCACCCGUCUGUCUCCUUUUUUUCUUUUUUAAAUGUAACCUGGUUUAUUGGGCUCUCGGCGUAUUCUUGCGUUCCUUCUGCACUGGGACGAGACACCACUGCACUAUUGGACUACGGCAAGCUGGUGCCGUCCGGUGGAGCUUCAUACAGGAACUGCUGCCUUACCUGCUGGUGUCACAACGUUGAAUGAACGCACAAAAAGCGCGGAACGAGCUUUUAUAUAGAGCAAAAUAAAUAUAUCCUUAUUGCACAAAA